GCAAAUCCCUGCAAAAUUUCUUGAGGGAACUCAGACCUGAAGCUUACCUGGAAACAGGGAGGAUGGAAACCUCCUGUGGAGCAGAAGGGCAAAAGCUCGCUUGAUCUUGAUUUUCAGUACGAAUACAGACCGUGAAGGCGGGGCCUCAUGAUCUUUCUGGCUUUUUGGGUUUUAAGCAGGAGGUGUCAGAAAAGUUACCACAGGGAUAACUUGCUUGUGGUGGCCAAGCGUUCACAGCAACGUCACUUUUUGAUCCUUCAGUGUCAGCUCUUCCUAUCAUCGUGAAGCAGAAUUCACCAAAUGUUGGAUAGUUCACCCACUAAUAGAGAACAUGAGCUGGGCUUAGACUGUCGUGAGACAGGUUAGUUUUACC
rnacentral:ncRNA from 1 species